UCUUUUUCUUUUUUUCUAUAUAUACAUAUAUAUAUAGAAAAAAAGAUGUGAAUAAUAUGUGAAAUAAUAUAUAUAUAUAAAAUGUAUGGAUAUAAUGCGUCAAAUACAAAGAUUCAUUCAUUAAUAUAUAUAUAUAUGUACACACACUAGAAUUAAAAGAUGCAAGCAUUUAAACUUUCUCUUACAGAACAUAGAAUAAACUGUGCAAAGGGAAUAAAAAAGUAUUGUUUCAUAGUUUAGUCUGGAAGCUUUUACUUCACGUGAAGAAAGUUUACAUCGAGGAUAGUUACAUCGAUGAAACUGGUUCUAUUUUAAAUGAAAGUUGAAAAGUUUUAUAAAUCUCAAAUAUGGUGAAAUAUAUUUUUAAGCAACUUUAUAAGAGAAAACAUUUUUGUAUAUAUUUUAUUAAUGAAAACAUUAAUUAAAAUUAGCAUGCUUUUAUGCGUUUUAAUAGAUAAAAACCAAAGAUGAAUAAUUAUAUAUUGUGAUACUUCUUUAAAUAAAAUAUUAGGAAUAUUUUUUCCAAUA